ensembl:lncRNA
CUUUGGUGGUUUCCUCUGGCAUCUUCACAAAGACAGAGGGGUCGUCUUAGCUCUGCCUUGCCCCAAGCUGUGCUGCCGCCAUGGAUAAAUAGCCUGUAGUCUUCCUCUUCUUCAGCACUUUACCUACAGCAGUGCUUGCGCCUGGAGCAGAGCUCUGUUCUAUCCACAGAUUACUCACACCUGCUUCAGGUCAUUUUGCUUUUAAAUAUCCUUCAUGGUGAGAUGCUAAAGUAUCGUAAUGAAGGUUUUAAAUAGCUUCUUCCUGGUUGUAAAAGUUCAUUCCAGGAAACAAUAUUGGAACUGGGAACUGGUGGGGCUGUUAAGGCUGUAGCCCUUGCUCUAGGCAUUUCCCCUUCUCAGAGCUGGAGAUGACUCACUACCCCAGCAUUUGCCUGUUUCACUGAUGAGGCUUUACCUCCCUUUCAAUUUGAGGUGUGCUUAGGGAAAGCAAGCCAAGGUGCUGCGCAUAACAACUCCAGCCUGUGGCUAAGUGAUCGUGUGCUGGAGCCAUCAGUCCAGGACUCUCUCGUGGUCCAGCUCCGACAUUUACAAAACGUCUGACUCUUCCUGAAUUCUCAGAAAAAUGAAAGUAAAAAAGUUGAAAAAGGUUCUAAUCUUAUGAACACAAAGAGAAAUGGAGAGAAGGCAAUAGUGGAGGAGAGAUGCUAAAAAAAUAUUUGGUAGGAUGAACACUUAAUGGAUACUUGUCAGAAUAGUGAAAGUUCAAAUAUAAGCCCUUGAAGAUGGAUAAGUCAACAAAAACCUCGUUAAUUCAUAUUGUGGAAAACUGGAAAGAUCAGCAAUACCAGAAAUUAGGAGUGGGACUGAGAACUUGCUGCUGAAAACAGGUUUGCUUAAAGAUAUUUAGGAUCAGUUAGAGCCCACUCUCCUACCCACCCUGCCCUUCUGCCACUCAUCCCAAUAGCAAGACAGAAGGAUAAUUCUAGGCAAAAAUUGACAGAGGGCAUCCAGGAUAUUAAGCACAGUUGAGAACAAGGUUUAGGUGUUAUAUUGAAAACAGGAAGGAACAAGAAAGUCUACACAUGGAAUGACUAGAGAUGCAGCAUCUUCAUUACAGCAAUCCCCGGACUCUGAGAGCCAGGCUUCAGCCCUGCAUAUCACUCUCUUCUGACACCUGCACAGAUCUGGAAGCUCAAGAACCACAUUCUGCCAGUUGAAGGAAUCAGGCAAGAAUUUGAAGGUGGAAGAGAAGCAGAAGCAAUGAUAGCUUCCAUGACUACAGCAGACAGAUGGCUGGCCUUUCAAGGAUGCAGUGUUUUGCCAGUGGCUCCCAGCUGUUUUCCUGAAAAUCACCCACACCCAUACUGCAGAAGACUGAGGAUACUGCUGAGAAUUGUCUGUGAUUCCUGACUUUCUGAUUUCCUCAUCCUUACCUCUCCAGUCCCAUGUGUAAUGAAGUUGUAGGUAAUCUGAAGAAAAUUGUUCCAAGUUCCUUCCAGCAUCCCUCACGCUGUAAUCUGGACGCCUACGUGAUUCCCUCUUCCUGUUACCAUGGAGGAACUGUUUAUAUUUUGAUCAAAGGCAAAACCUUUCACUUGUGCUCAAGAUGCCAACUCUCCCACUCGCUCAUGAACAUUGUUCCAGAAAGUUUAGUGUCUCUGUUCUGUGUCAUAAAGUUUCUCUCUCUGGUGAGCAUGAUGCAUAAGGAGAACAGCAUGAAACGUGAUAUAACUUCUCCCAUCUUACAAACACUUUUCUCUUUACCCCACGUCAACCUUACAGGUAUCACCCACUGCUCUGUUCUUAUUUACAACAAAACUCUUUGACAGUGUUGUCUGUACCUUCUGUUUCUAAUUCCUUCCCUCCAUUCUUUCUUAAAUCCUUUUUAACUAGACUUUUAGCUCCACUAUGCAAAAAAAAAAAGAGAGAGAGAGAGAAAAUGGUCACAAACAACUUCCAUGUUGUUAAACCCAAUGGUCAUGUCUCAGUCCUAAUUUUAUUUGUCCUAUCUGGUGUAGUUGCCACAACUGAUUCAUCCCCGUUCCUUGAAACACUGUCUAUACCAGCCUUCUAGAAAACAGUCCUGUCCCUCCACUAGACUCUAAACAUUCAUAACUCUUGUCCACCUACACUGGCACCUGUGAUGAUGUCUUCAAAUUUAAAUAUUGCCUAUACAGUAAGGACUCUUCUAUUUAUAUCUCCUGCUCAGACCUCUUCCUCGAGGUAAGUGUCUAUCUGCUCACAUCUGCACUUAGAGUAGAAGCUUCUCAAACUUACCUGUGCAGAACUGAACUCUUGAUCUGCAUCUCUGCCAAACUUGCUCUUUCCUCAUUUUUAAUUCUGUUACAGUAAACGCAAACUAUAUCUUCUCUAGUGGUUCCUGCCAAAAACUUUGGAGUUUUCUUCAACUUCCUUUUUUUGUUUUCUUGCAACACCACG